rnacentral:rRNA from 1 species
CCUACGGGUGGCAGCAGUGAGGAAUAUUGGUCAAUGGGCGCGAGCCUGAACCAGCCAAGUAGCGUGAAGGAUGACUGCCCUAUGGGUUGUAAACUUCUUUUAUUCGGGAAUAAUGAGCCUUACGUGUAGGGUUUUGAAUGUACUUUAUGAAUAAGGAUCGGCUAACUCCGUGCCAGCAGCCGCGGUAAUACGGAGGAUCCGAGCGUUAUCCGGAUUGAUUGGGUUUAAAGGGAGCGUAGGUGGGUUGUUAAGUUAGCUGUGAAAUUGCGAGGCUCAACCGUGGGGUUGCAGCUGAUACUGGAAGACUAGAGAUCGGAUGAGGCAGGCGGAAUUCGUGGUGUAGCGGUGAAAUGCUUAGAUAUUACGAAGAACUCCGAUUGCGAAGGCAGCUUGCUAGGCCGGAACUGACACUGAUGCUCGAAAGCGUGGGGAUCGAACAGGAUUAGAUACCCGAGUAGUC